rnacentral:lncRNA from 1 species
AUGAUGUAUUUUGAAGAGUUAAAUGUGAAGUUUCAAAUGAAUUUUAAGGCAGCCUUAAAGUAUGCUUUCAUCCUGCCUCCUCAACUCUCAGGAUUCAAAGGAUCACCAGAACUUUGUGGCAGGAUUUUGUCUCCACCCAUCAAGUGGAUGAAGGAGGCCACUGAAGUCUGCUCCGGUAAAACUGAACCUGCUAAUUAUAUCGUAAGAGUCUUUGUUGUAGUGUUUCCCCACUCUUUCCCAUCAAACAUGUGUUUAUUAGUGCUGGAAUAGCAUUCCCUACCAUUCUCCAAACAGUGAGAACCAGCCAUGCACCAGUGCCAGGUUGGCUUGGAUGGUGUUUCCUCCUGGAGCAAUGUGUGGGUGACUCUGACUUCCUUUGGUCCUCUGUCUCCCCCCAUUAUCCCUGGACCCUAGAAAUAGAAUCUAGCAAUGGAAGAAGUACAGAAAGGCUUGAUAAUCAGAUGCACCUGGGUUAAAUCUUGAUUUUAUUAUCUACUCAACAUAUUAGCUGGAGUAUAAUAUCUAUUUUUUCAGCUUUGUCAUCUUCACUUGUAAAAUGGGAAUAACAAUAUUCAAUAUACAAGAUUGUUGUAAGGAUG